rnacentral:rRNA from 1 species
CCUACGGGAGACAGCAGUAGGGAAUCUUUCACAAUGGGCGAAAGCCUGAUGGAGCAACGCCGCGUGCAGGAUGAAGGCCUUCGGGUUGUAAACUGCUUUUAUAAGCGAGAAAUAUGAUGGUAACUUAUGAAUAAGGAUCGGCUAACUACGUGCCAGCAGCCGCGGUCAUACGUAGGAUCCGAGCAUUAUCCGGGGUGACUGGGUGUAAAGAGUUGCGUAGGUGGCAUAAUAAGUAGCUAGUGAAAUCUGGUGGCUCAACCAUUCAGACUAUUAGCUAAACUGUUAAGCUCGAGACCGUUAGGGGUAACUGGAAUUUCUAGUGUAGGAGUGAAAUCCGUAGAUAUUAGAAGGAACACCAAUAGCGUAGGCAGGUUGCUGGGACGGUUCUGACACUAAGGCACGAAAGCGUAGGGAGCAAACGGGAUUAGAUACCCGUGUAGUC